rnacentral:rRNA from 1 species
GAUGAACGCUGGCGGCGUGCCUAAUACAUGCAAGUCGAGCGAACAGACGAGGAGCUUGCUCCUCUGACGUUAGCGGCGGACGGGUGAGUAACACGUGGAUAACCUACCUAUAAGACUGGGAUAACUUCGGGAAACCGGAGCUAAUACCGGAUAAUAUAUUGAACCGCAUGGUUCAAUAGUGAAAGACGGUUUUGCUGUCACUUAUAGAUGGAUCCGCGCCGCAUUAGCUAGUUGGUAAGGUAACGGCUUACCAAGGCAACGAUGCGUAGCCGACCUGAGAGGGUGAUCGGCCAAACUGGAACUGAGACACGGUCCAGACUCCUAAGGGAGGCAGCAGUAAGGAAUCUUCCGCAAUGGGCGAAAGCUUGACGGAGCAACGCCGCGUGAGUGAUGAAGGUCUUCGGAUCGUAAAACUCUGUUAUUAGGGAAGAACAAAUGUGUAAGUAACUAUGCACGUCUUGACGGCACCUAAUCAGAAAGCCACGGCUAACUACGUG